rnacentral:lncRNA from 1 species
CUCGCAGAUGGAAUUCAAAUACCUGUCGUGUUCAAGACAGCCCCAUGGGGAUUAUAGGUGGAUGUCAGAACUAUACCCAGAUUCAGACAUGUGACACUUUCGGGCUGAAGCACUUAAGAGCCAGUGUGCCCUGUCCAUUUCUGUCUUCUGUCCUGUGGAUUUGGAAGCAUGUGUUGACAGAACAAUGUCUUAUGGUGAAGGAAGCCUAAACCCCUGAGUCAUUGGAUGGAGGAGAGCCCAUGUUGACCCAUAAAGGACUUCAUGGUCUCGCUCUGUCACCCAGGCUGGAGUGCAGGCGUGCUAUCUUGGCUCACUGCAACUUCUGCUUCCCGAGUUCAAGAGAUCCUCAUACCUCAGCCUCCUGAGUAGCCGGGACUACAGGCAUGCGCCACCACACCCAGAUAUGACUUAGAAUAUGAUUGAAUAUGAAUACAUGAUUGAAGAUAUAUUAUAAAAUUGAGAUACUUGUUGCAACACAACAGGGAAAUGAAUACAGAAGGGCUCAAAGUAUUUUAUAGAGGGUAUACGAGCAAUUUGACGUCGCAGAAAACCUGUCAGAAAGAAGCACCAUGGAAUAGAGGAAAGAGGCCCGGAAUCCAGCCCCGGGAACUGUGACAGCCUCUGGGGUGGGGACUCUCGUGGAAAGGCUAGAUGAUGGAGUCACGUGCUCCCUUCCCGUUCACUAGCUGCUGAUUGGCCAACUGCUCCUGCCAGCUGUCCCUGCACUCCAGCUUCCUACCAUAUGCUCCAGAAUAACGUCUGGAAAGUGAGCCCCAUCCAUCAAGUUUGUCACACCUUGCACUCAAUCUGCUACCUUCUCUACAGUAUUUGUCCACGUCUCUGCCCUGCUUCAAAUCCUUCAGAGGCUCCCCAUCACCCACAGGGAUGAUCUUUCUGAAAUGGAUUUGGCCAUGCCAGUCUCCUGCCUGAAACAGCCCUCCUGGCUCCUUGUCACUCAAAGGAAAAGGCAAACUCCUCAAGACUGCACAUAAUGCCCACCUUCCCAACCAGCCUCUCCUACUGCCACUCUCUCUCCUACACCCUACCUUCCAAACCCUACUUGGGGUUCACCCUCACAUGCUGGAGUUUUCCCAUCUCUGAGACUUCAUUCAGGCAGUUCCUUCUGGCUUCGGAGGCUUCUUUGUUCCUAAAGUUCAUACUUUAAGACCUAGCUGAAAUAUCAAGGCUUCCUGGACUCUGCAGGUGACACGAGCCACUGUGCUCCUGGAUGCUUCAGAACCUGUGCAGAUCUCUGUCUUCACUCCUACUAUGGCAUCUCCUAGCAUGUUCUACACUGAGCUCCACUGGGCCUUGCAUGUCAGUAUCCCGAAUUCUGAAUGAAGCUUGGAACAUGGGAGGUGCAUCCACUAACAACAUGAAGAAUGAAGACAUGUAUAACAGAGUAGAUGGAAACCAUAUGGUAAAACCUAAAGCAAAAUCCACCCUCUAACCUUUCUGUAAGUGAAACACCCAAUUUUCUCGAAGGUGCAGUAAAAGAGCUAAAGCACAGGAGACUAAGUCAUGCAGGCCUAGCUUAGUGUUCUCCUGCCAAUGAUCUGCUGCAAAGACCACCAGGGACACAUCUGUAGUUGAACAUGUUGGGUUAUUCCUCAGCGCAGAGGGAGGAGCAAUGAGGCAUCUCUGAAAGAGGGUGUUAGAAAGAAUGUAUCACAAGAUUUGGGCUUAAGGUAAGUAAUUUUGGGGAUGGUCAACAAAGUGGGGUUUUUCUCUGAAUUGGAUGCUGUCAUAAUGUGGGGGUAAUUCUGUGAUUAUCCCAACAAUACUUAUCUGGAAGGCAAGAAGAACAGAGCAAGGCUGAAACCAGGCUAGAGAAAUGUUUGAUCAGUUUUCCAAUUUUGACAAUGUUCAUGUUUUGCCUGUGUUCAGCCAUGAUGACCUGGUGGUCUUGAUUUUGUCUUGACCUAUCAUGGUCACUAAGUGGCCUUGCCUUAUGCUGAUGGUAUGUGAAAUGUUGAUGUUCAACAGGAGAAUGCCAGCACCUUGCUGUGGGGGUGGGCCUGCCCCUGACUGUCAGAGGCUGCUGUUCUUUUUCUUACCAUCACACAUUUAGCAGCCCUAGGAUUCUGUGCAGGGUACUUAACGUCUUUGGGUGCCAGUUUCCUCAUCUGUAAAAUGAGGCUAGAAAUACCCUCUGUGAAGGAGAAAACAUGUUGAUUGUCUAGCACAGAGUCUGAAACAUAGGAGAUACUCCAAAAAACAUUAGGUCCCUUAUGUCUGGGAGUGUGGCUUUAUCCUCCCUUUAUAGACAAUGGUUUUAGGCCUAAUAAUCACCUGUGGGUUUCUUUUCAAAUGGCCUCUCCUUCAUAGCACAUAGGUGCAAUUGCAGAUGAGCUCUCAGUUAUUAAUAAAAGAAUGGUGCUGGACCAGCCUAGGAAAAUUGUGCAGAAUGAAUGUGGAGUUAAUGCAAACAACCUGGCUGCAGGGCCCUGUGGAUAACAGAAACUUCCACCGUUUGCAGACUACUCCACAUGUCCUUUAACUAUCUAUGAAUUAUGUGCUCGACUACAGCAGCCAAGUGGACUCACAGAACUGGAGUAAUAAUGGUAUAUCUCUACAGAAACUUUUACAGUUUAUAUACGGUCUUUCCAAUGUCACAUAGUCUUACUUGAGCUACACACCAGGACUGUGCCUUUAGAGCUCCUGUCUUCAUUUUACAGCAAAGAAACCUGGGCUCCCUGCAGUUGGGUGACCUGUGCAGUUACUCAGCCAGCACACAGCAGAGCUGGGACAUACUGCUUUUUUUUUUUAAUCUUUUUUAGAUUUUUAUUUGUGGUGAAACAUAAACAACAUAACCUUUGCCAUUUUAACCACGUUUAAGUGUACAAUUCAGCAGCAUUAAUUACAUUCACAAUGUUGUGCAACCAUCAGCAUCAUUUCCAGAACUCUUUCAUCACCCCAAACAGAAACUCUGUACCCAUUAAGCAAUUAACUCCCCAUUCAUUCCCCAAAUCCCCAGCCCUAGUCUAAUCUACUUUCCAUCUCCACGAUUUUACCUAGUCUUGUUUUUAAAUCAAUUUCAGUGAGGUAUAAUUUACAUACAAUGAAAUGUACCCAUUUUAAAUGUACAGUUUAAUGAACUUGACAAAUAUAUACACCCAUGUCAGCUAUAGAGCAUUUCUUCACCCUAAAGACUUCUCUUGUGCCUUCUCAGUCAACUCCCUAUCUCAGUGCCAGCUCUGAUCUGCUUUUGAUUGCUAUAGACUAGGUUUGUUUUUUCUAGAGUUUCAUGUAAACAUACUCAGGUCUUUUUAAGCCUACUAUCCUCUCCACUACCACGUGUUCCCUCUCAUAGAAGGUUGAAGCUGGAAGGGCCCUCACACCUACAGCUCCUUUUCCGCAUGAAGAAACUGAAGCCCCAGACACAAGGGGUACUUUCCCAAAGCUAUACAGGAGACAGUGGAGAGCCAGGGAGCAGCUCAGGGUUCAGACUCCCAUUUCUGUGCUGGUUUCCUUGCUUUCUUCUCCCAGCCCCAGCUCUUUGGCAUGAAGUAUAAGGGCAAAUGGUUUCCUAUGUCACAUUAUAACAAGACGCUCUUGGAAGCUACCUAAAUUGUGCUGAUUACUUUCUGCCCAUUUAAUAUUUCUUGUAUUUGUUUUUGGAAAGAUUGACUACCUUUGACAAAAGUAUGUCAAAAGCAAUACAUCUUACUAGUGGAGCGAAGACACUGCAUGCUGACAAAGGUGAUCUCAGAUGUGAGGUCGAUGGUGCGCCAUGCAAUCAGCUUGCUGAGUGAGCCUACUUAUGCCCCAUCCCGGGGGCCUAGGGUAAGAAAAGUGCCAAGCGAAGCUGAGGAUCAGACUAAAGCUGGAAGGUGAGUCAAAGCUUGAGUCCCUCAGCAUUACCCUGCCCAGGCAGCAACUUCAGCCUCAUGGUCUUUUAGCCCUAAAACUUAGGACUAGCUCAGUGGGAGUUUUACAUUCCUUGGCUUGACAAAUGAAAAAGGUAUUGGUAGUCAGAGGGGAAAAAGGCUAAAAUAACUCAAAGUUCUAUCUGAAUCCAUGUGGAGGGUCAGGAAAAAUGCAUGGGUUUGGGGAGCCAGAAAGACCCCAGAAAUCCUCCUAACUUCCGAUAUGAACUUAGGCGAGCAUCUCACCUAUCUGCACCCCAGUUCCUUCAUUUGUAAAGUGGAGGGAAUAACAUCUACCUCAUGGGACUGUGACAAGUUACAAGUGAGCUCGUAUAACAUGAAGUAUCUUAAAUGCUGGCAGCCUUCUUUUUCUUUAUAUUCAAACAAAAGGAAAAACAAAGCUUUCUGGCCACUUUGAGUCUGAAAGUCUGGCUGUUAGGGUAGAAAAGUCUUCUAAACACUGAAUGGAUUUGAUGAUAAUCCCUUAGGGAUUGACACUGCCGAAUGCCCUUGUUCCUGGGGUCUUGGGUGCUGAAAUCCGCUUGGUGCAUACAGAGAUGCACCACCUGAGUUUCGAGGCAACUGUGCAUGUUCUGAAGAACAUUCUAUUUCCCCGUCAAUAAUAACAACAAUGAUGGGCAUCAAUGAUCUGUUUUGCACAUGUACAUCAUCUUUUUUGGCCUUGUUAUAUAACAGAUGAUGACGCUGAAAUUGCUGACACUAAUUAUCUACCAUAAGCAGGAAGGCCUUUUCUGAGUAAGCUCCUGGUUACUGGGAGCAGGUUGCAUCUAGGACUGAUAGUCUCUGGGGAUCCUAAUGAAGUCAGCGUAUUUUAGGGAUUUCUGUCUUCUCCUUUGUUAGAUGGGAAUAGAGACAGCCUGAGGGAGAGAUGCUGCUGGAAGAUCUUAUUUGGGGAUUGGUUCCAUGCUGUAGCUGGGUGACUUUGGGCAAGUUAGAUGGUCUUAAAAUGUCAGAGCUGGAAGGACCUGUGGGAACUGUUUUACAGAAAAGGAAACCAAAGGUCAGAAAUGAAACCAUCUGCCUCAUAUCACACAGCUAAAUUGAUGUGAUGCUAUUAAAACCCAGGUGUCCUUCCUGAUUCUGUUUGAGUGUGUUUGAAUUACUUAAUCUGGGUCUAGAUUCAAAUCCUGGUGCUAUUACAUGUGAAUCUCAGGAUUUUAGCAAGUUGUUAAACUCUCUACCUUGUCUGCAAUAUUUGUGAAAUGGGAAUAAUAAAAAUACCUGAGUGUUCCUGUGAGGAUUAAAUUAGGUGAUGCUAGUAAUUUUAAAAUAUAUCUUAUUAUUAUUAGUAAGUGAAAGGUAUCAUGAUUACCUUCUGCAGUGGUUCUAGAAACAGUGAGCCUGAUCUAAUUCUGUUAGCCAAUUCUGGUAGCUGCCUGUGUUUGUAAAUAAAGUCUUAUUAGAACACAGCUACAUUCAUUCAUUUAUGUAUCAUCUUUUGCUGCUUUCCUGUGACAAUGGUAGAGUAGCUGUAAUAGAGACAGUAUGGCCCACAAGGCACACAUAUUUACAGAGAGUUUGGCAACUUCUGGUUAGAUGAUCUGUGUAUUCUACUUGCACUCACUACUCCAAUGGCUGAAACCCAUAUGGAAAUCUCCAUGUCUAGCCUUGAUUUCUCUUUUGAUCUCCAGAGGUUGUAUCCAGCAGCCUACUGGCAUCUCUACUUGGAAGUCUCAUGGGCACCUUGAGUUCAGUUGGUCCCAAAGUAAACUUGUCUUCUUUCUGCUCAAACAUGCUGCUUGUGUUCCUUAGCACAGUGACUGGCACCAUGUAGAUCCCCAUGCCAGGAACCUGGGUGUCAUCCUACCUUAUGUCCUCUUCCUCACCUCCCAUGUCUCUUCGGUCUUAACCUUCUGUUGAUUUCAGCUUUUAAACAUCUCUUGGCACUAUGCCUGAGGUCUUGGCUGACACUGCCCUUAGCUAGACCCUGGUCAUCUUCUGCCUGAUCCAGUGCCAUCACUUUCUAGCUACAGGACCUCGACAGGGAGUCUGUUCAUAAAGGUCCAAGGAAGUGGGACACUGUGCCCUCCAAAAACUUAGGUUGGACUUGUCAUUGAGUUCUGUGUCCAUAAAAUAGGUCAUUUUCUGUUGUUUUGUGGUUCUUUAUUUUAAGGGUCUGUUGUUUGGUUGUAUUUAAAAAGAGAAUGGUAAUAAUAAUCCCAAAUACAUGUACUUUACUUUCAAAGCUUAUAAAACACUUUCAUACUUAUGAUAUUAUUUGAUUCUUGGACAGCUUGGGGAGAGAGCUAUUGCAAUUAUCUGUAUUUAUCCAUAUGAAAGGAUGUAUGCUUACCUAAGGUGACCUGCUUUGGAAGUAGAAAUCAGACCUAAGGCCCCUGACUCUGUGUUUUGUUUCUUCCUUUCUUUCCUUUUCUUCCCUUCCCUCCCUACCUCCUUUUUUUUCUCUCUCUCUCUUCCUCUCUCACUCUCUUAAGAUUCGUCUUCCCAAAGCAUCUGAGGUUUCAGCUUUCUUUUCCCUUGAACACUAGAAAUCCAUCAGGUAAUAUGUUAUAUGUCUUGCAUUCCCACCACGAAGAUCAGUAUUAAAAAAUGACAGCAACUUAUUAUUUAUGGCAAUAUCUAUUGUUACUAAGGGAGGCAGACCAAACAAUUCCCCAUUGUUACAGAUGCUACUCUGACUUGACAGCUGGGAAAGUCUGAUAGGCAGUUUAUUUACUUAGCCAUUUAACCAAAUAAAUGUUUUCAUUUUUCUUUCAUCUCCUCAAAAGCUAACAUUUCGUCCUCAAAAUUGCUCCAGCAACACAUCAGUGAAGUAUAAAUUACCUGCCAUUCCCAUACCAGUCAUUAUAAUAUUAUUUUGGUUCUUUUUUGCCCUUGUUGACCCAGUCUUUCAAAGACACGUGAUUCUCCCAGAUGGGAGGGUAGGGGGAAAAAAGUGAAGUAAUUGAAGAUACUUUCCUUUAUUGCUAAAACAGCACUGCUGUUUGAGAUUGGCCCUGAAGCUUCCACCUGUGGGGAUUGAGUCCGUCUGUUUCCUCUUACUAUGGUGUGAUAUGGCUUUAGCUUAUCAACAGAUGUCAUCCCUACUUACUCAGAACUGUGCAGGUAUUUCUAAUAAAAAACAGCUGGUGAUAAUGGUUGCAAGGGUGAUAAGAGAGACAGGACUCUUGCUUUCCAACCAUAUGAAAGCAGAGGGGAAAAAAUAAAGCCAUGGACAUAACUUUCCCUGCAUGGUCUCUCUUCUCCAAAUGUUUGGAAAGGCACUAAGAAAUUGCAGUCAGUAAAUUUUCAGUUGGGUGGAUGGGGGAAUGGGAUGGAGAUGGAAAGAUUAAAUGUGUCUUGUGCUGCUGUCGAUGGAGGGACCCAGAAUGGCUCUCCCAGACGUCCCCCAUGUGUGUCAUAGUGGCUAUGUCUGCAAAGCUGGCAUCUGCCCCUUGGCACUUGAAUCUUGAUAACUGUGAAGUGGCCAGGCUAAGCUUUCAAAGGGAGAAAAUUACUUCACCGAAGAUUACAGUCCAGCCCUCCUCUGGAGCUGGGAGGUACUUAUUUUGACUUGCAUGUGAUUCUAAGACAGCCCAUUUUUUGGCAGUGAGCUGUGUGAGGCCCAAACCAGGGCCAUUCUGAUUAUGGGGUGGGGCAAGCCAGAGAGCUAAGCAGCAGGCUUUUUUCUUUUUUUCCCUUCCAAAGCUGUUGUGACACAUAUUGAAAAUUAAUUAUCUGAAGACAAAGUACAAAGCAAAACCUCCCAACCAAUGGUCUUAUACAUGAAAGCUAAAUGUAUAAAAUCCAAGAGAGUGGGGAGCGUGCAUUAAUUGGAUAUAUGUGAUGAUGAUAAUGAUGAUGAUAAUGAUGAUGGUGAUGGUGAUGAUGAGGGUAGCUAGCAUCUAUUAGGUGCUUUCUAUGUGCUAUACACAGUGCUAAGAGCUUCACAUAUAUCACUUUAUUUAGUUCACAUAAUAACCCUAUGAGGUGGACACUAUUUUUAUCCUUAUUUUUCAAAUGAAGAAAAUAAGAUAGAGAAUAAUUAUAAAAUCACAGCAGUGUCACAUAGCCAGGAAGUGGUGGAGCCAGAUGCUGAACUCAAACAAUGUUGUUCCAGAACCUAGAUAUUUUUUUUAAGCUGAAUUUUAAGCUGAUUACUCAGUGUCUGUCUCUGCGCUAGAUACUCAACAUAAACUAUCUCAGUUACCAUUAUGGAGAAUAUAAGCCCCUUC